UAGUUCCGGAGGGGCACCGACCCAAUGCAGGGGCAGGCGUACAGCCGCCUAGGCAGCUUCGGCGCCGCGGCGAGCGCGCCGCCGCCGCCUUCGGCUCCGGUGCGGCCUGGGGCCGGCGCUGGCGGGGCCAGCCGGACGCCCGCGAAGGCUGGUCCAGCGAGGGCCAUCCCGGGGACCGCGGCCUCGGCGACGGCGGCGGCGCGGGCGGGGGUUGCCCACCGUGGUGGCGGCGGCGCGGCGCGGAGGGUGGCCAGGGCGGUGCUCGCGACACUGCUGCGGAGGCAGGCGGUGUUCCUCUUCGCGCCGCUCCUGUACGUCGCAGCGAUGCUGCUGUACAUGGGCUCGCUCCCGCUCGACGCCGUGCCGCGGAUUAUCGCGCGCCAGCCGCCCGGGUCCGUGUACCGCAGCCCGCAGCUGUACGCGCGGCUCCGCGCCGACAUGGACGCCGACAACUCUACCGGCGCGCAACUGUAUGGAGGCACACUUACAAAGGUGGCACAUGGUGGCCCUGCAUAAACAACAUGACAAAUGGUUUACCUGAAUCAAAUGGCUACAUAUACGUUGAGGCAAAUGGUGGUUUAAAUCAACAAAGGACAUCAGUAGUCGUCUUACCUUAGUGUUUCUUGUUACUCCUGACAUUUUACAUUUUCUGUUAACUGGUAUGUGGUAUCUUUAGUUAUUAACUUAUGCCUCUAUUUUUUGUUUUUUUUGUUUUUUUUCAGAUAUGCAAUGCAGUCGCCAUUGCUGGUUUUCUGAAUGCUACUCUUAUCAUCCCAAAUUUCCAUUUCCAUAGCAUUUGGAGGGAUCCUAGGUGCAUUCCCCACCUCUCAACUCAAAUUUUUAUUAAGUACUGGAACAUACCAUCAACUCCUCAAAUUCAGUGAUAUCUAUGAUAAAGAUCACUUUGUACAACGUCUACAAAAUGAUGUUCGAGUAGUUGACGAAAUUCCGGAUUUCAUGAUGGAGCGAUUUGGUCAUAAUCUCAGCAAUGUGUUCAAUUUCAAGAUAAAGGCUUGGGCACGCAUUCAAUAUUACAAAGAUGUUGUUCUUCCAAAAUUAGUUGAAGAAAGUGCAGAGUCAUCAGGAUUUCUCCUUUUGCCAACCGACUCUCAUUUGAUGCACCUUCUGCUGUUCAACGGUUGAGAUGCUUGGCAAACUUUGAAGCCUUAAAAUUCUCUAAACCAAUUGUAUCUUUGUCUGAAACCUUAGUUUCUCGAAUGAGAGAGAGAAGUGCUGAAAGCGAUGGAAAAUAUAUCUCAGUGCAUCUUCGGUUUGAGGAGGAUAUGAUUGCCUUCUCAUGUUGUGUUUAUGACGGUGGUGAUGAGGAGAAGAAAGAAAUGGAUGCAGCCAGAGAAAUAGGUUGGAGAGGGAAAUUUACUAAGAGAGGACGGGUAAUAAGGCCAGGAGUUAUCAGAAUGAAUGGAAAAUGUCCUCUUACACCUUUGGAGGUUGGGUUAAUGCUUCGUGGAAUGGGUUUCAGCAAUAAGACUGCAAUUUUUUUGGCGUCUGGAAAGAUUUACAGAGCAGAGAAAAACAUGGCUUCUCUUCUUGAAAUGUUUCCUCUCCUACAGACAAAAGAGACACUGGCAUCCGAAGAGGAACUUGCUCCAUUCAAGAAUUUCUCCUCAAGGAUGGCUGCUGUUGACUAUAGUGUUUGUGCCCAAAGUGAAGUUUUUGUGACCACACAAGGUGGAAAUUUCCCACAUUUCCUUAUGGGUCACAGGAGAUACUUGUAUGGUGGGCAUUCAAAAACAAUCAAACCAGACAAAAGAAGGCUUGUCGUACUCUUUGAUAAUCCACGUAUAGGGUGGAAGGCAUUGAAGCGGCACUUGCUUAAUAUGAGAGCACACAGUGAUGCCAAGGGGAUUGAAAUGAAAAGACCAAGCGAAUCCAUAUAUACAUUUCCAUGUCCUGACUGCAUGUGCCGCUUGAACAGAACAGAACACUCUAAAUCCAAACACAGUAGAUAGUAUCUCAUAGUUGCAUUUCCAGACUAACCCUAUUCUUUCUGACAUCCACUUUAGUCUGUUCAUUCUUCAUUUGCUGUGCGGCUUUUCACUUCAUCAGCAAGCAUACUCGCCAGUUGCCACAGCAUUGAGAGCAACCUAUUCUCCGUAUAUAGCGGUUUUUCCUUGUAUAGCAUAUGCCAGAAUAACCCCAGAUUCGUCCGUGGAGUAUUAAACCAAUUGUGAUGCUAACUAUACAUCAUCUGACUAUAAUUCUCAACAACCGAUCUGGCCCCAGUAGGACAAUGAAGUAUCAAAUGUUUUUGGGUAGUAGUAUUGCUGUUGUACAUGGUUCAUUAGCAGUCUGUCAUCAUGUACAAAUUUAAAAUGGUAAACAGGCAUUGUAAAAAAAUUAUCUUGCCCUAAACAUGGGCCCAUAGCCUCUCUGUAUUCUUUUAGCUAGGCUUUCACGGUUGUAACUGUGUCUUACACUUCUAUUCACAAUUCUAACAAUAGAACUGCUCAGUGCAACUUUAUUCUUGCUUCA